rnacentral:rRNA from 1 species
UACGGAGGAUGCGAGCGUUAUCCGGAUUUAUUGGGUUUAAAGGGUGCGUAGGCGGACCGAUAAGUCAGUGGUGAAAACCUGCAGCUUAACUGUAGACGUGCCAUUGAUACUGUCGGACUUGAGUGUGGUCAAGGUAGGCGGAAUGUGUAAUGUAGCGGUGAAAUGCUUAGAUAUUACACAGAACACCGAUUGCGAAGGCAGCUUGCUGGACCAUUACUGACGCUGAUGCACGAAAGCGUGGGGAGCGAAC